GCUAGCAUGGCAUAGUGGUUUGAGUGUUGGACUAUGACUCUGGAGAUCAGGGUUUGAAUCCCUGCUCGGGUA